AAGACUUAAAAGGGAGAUGACCCCAGCUAGUUGAUGCCACCAGUGACUCCAGACGCCCCGGGCGAGGGGACCCCACGAGGGGCCGCGGCGGGAAAGGCCCGCCGCUGGGGCAGCCUCGCGAGGCAGGCGCUCGCAGGCGAGAGGGAGAGCCGAGGAGCGCCCGGCAGCCGCGCCACCAUGUGCGAGCUGUACAGCAAGCAGGACACCCUGGCGCUGAGGAGGAAGCACAUCGGGCCCUCAUGCAAAGUGUUCUUUGCUGCGGAUCCCAUCAAAAUAGUGCGAGCCCAGGGGCAGUACAUGUUUGACGAGAGAGGUGAACAGUACCUGGACUGCAUCAACAACGUGGCGCACGUGGGACACUGUCACCCGGAAGUGGUCACGGCUGCCCUGAAACAGAUGGAACUUCUAAACACAAAUUCUCGAUUCCUUCAUGACAAUAUUGUUGAGUAUGCCAGGCGCCUUUCAGCAACCCUGCCGGAGACGCUCUCUGUUUGCUAUUUUACAAACUCAGGAUCUGAAGCCAAUGACUUAGCCUUACGCUUGGCUCGGCAGUUCAGAGGCCACCAAGAUGUGAUCACUCUUGACCAUGCUUACCAUGGUCACCUAUCAUCUUUAAUUGAGAUCAGUCCAUACAAAUUCCGAAAGGGCAAAGAUGUCAAGAAAGAAUUUGUGCAUGUGGCACCAACUCCAGAUACUUACAGAGGAAAAUACAGAGAAGAUCAUGCAGACCCAGCCGGCGCUUAUGCAGAUGAAGUGAAGAAAAUUAUUGAAGAAGCUCAUAACAGUGGAAGGAAGAUUGCUGCCUUUAUUGCUGAAUCCAUGCAGAGUUGUGGCGGACAAAUAAUUCCUCCAGCAGGCUACUUCCAGAAAGUGGCAGAAUAUGUACACAGAGCAGGAGGUGUGUUUAUAGCUGAUGAAGUUCAGGUGGGCUUUGGCCGAGUUGGAAAACAUUUCUGGAGCUUCCAAAUGCAUGGUGAAGAUUUUGUUCCAGACAUUGUCACGAUGGGGAAACCAAUGGGCAAUGGCCACCCAAUGGCAUGCGUUGUAACAACCAAAGAAAUUGCAGAGGCCUUCAGCAGUUCUGGGAUGGAAUACUUCAAUACGUAUGGAGGAAAUCCAGUAUCUUCUGCUAUUGGUUUGGCUGUCCUGAAUGUAAUUGAAAGUGAAGACCUUCAAGGAAAUGCCACGAGAGUGGGGGAUUAUCUUACUGAAUUACUCAAUAAACAGAAGGCUAAACAUACUUUAAUAGGAGAUAUCAGGGGCAUUGGCCUGUUUAUCGGAAUUGACUUGGUGAAGGACCAGCAGAAAAGGAUCCCCGCCACAGAUGAGGCUCAACAUGUCAUCUACAAGAUGAAAGAAAAGCAAGUGCUUCUCAGUGCCGACGGACCUCAUAGAAAUGUGCUUAAAAUAAAACCACCUAUGUGCUUCACUGAAGAAGAUGCCAAGUUUAUGGUGGACCAACUCGAUGAGAUUCUAACAGUUGUGGAAGAAGCCAUCGGAGCCAAAAGUGAGAGUGUGACCUCUGAGAAUACUCCGUGCAGAACAAAGGUACCUCAUGGACACUUAAAAGUAUACUAGCACGUCUGCAAAUCCUAUCCUGACAAGGAGACCUUAAAAAGGAUUAGACUUGAACGCGUCUUCUGGAAUGACAUGCCAAGAGCACUGCACACCAUCUGAAGCCAAGUCAACUAGACAUGGCUGAACGUAAUUUUUUCCCCUUUGUACCAAAUAUAAUGGUGCAGAGUGACCUUUAAUGUGGAAGGGAAAACUGGCGCUUGGAUUUCCAAUAACAUUAAAAUAUUCCCAAAUUUAUCUUUUUUUAAUUAAAUAAACCCAGUCAUUCCAGGAUUUUCUCAUAGAAACCUAUUUCCCAAGCAUUGAUUUUUUUUUAAAUUCAAGGUUAAUUAUGUAUGAAAUAUAGUUUAUACAUGGUAAAUUUCAUCCGUUGUAAGCAUAUGGAUUAACAGUGUCUUUCAUAUUUGGCAAACAUAUAUGAAGAGUACAGAAGUAGCCAGAACCUCUUCUUUCUGGUCUAUGGCCAGUGUGUGUUAGAUUCCAGGAGCCAUGGUUGUCAGGAUAAACUAUAUGUUUUAUGUAAAGUCUCAGAGAGGUAAGAAUAUUUGAGUUCUCUACAUAUCUAAGUGGUGCUUCUGGAAUUUAUAUUCUGUACUAUUCGGCUCUGGCUGCCAUAACAAAAUACAAUAGACUAGGUGGCUUAAACAACACCAAUUUAUUUUCUCACAGUUCUGGAAGCUGGAAGUCCAAGAUCAGGCUAGAGGAAGCAUGGCUGGUUUCUAAGUGGAGCACAAAUUCAACACUAAACAUUCGUUCAGCAACCCAGCGUGCCUUCCUUCUUCCUUCAUUUUAACAGUGCUAGAUUUUCUCAUGGAUACCCAACACACACACGCACACACACACACACACUGGUGUACUCAAUCAGUUUUCUGUUCCCUGGCCCACAGUCCAUGGACCAUUGGCCUAAGCUGUUCCCAGUACAGUGAAUGCUGCAUUAGAAGAGUUGUCCUGGUAUGAAGACAUGAACCUGGAACUUCUAUGGACAUUUAACCAGCAUGAGGAGAAAUGUAAUAUCUCGAUGGAGAGAAGCACAUUGCUGAAUCACCAAAAAAAAAAAAAAAAUCAACCCUAAAACUCGCUCUUCCUCUGGAUGUUCCAGUUACAUGAGCCAAUAAAUCCUUUUUGUUCACCAA